rnacentral:rRNA from 1 species
GUUCCUACGGGGCGCAGCAGUGAGGAAUAUUGGUCAAUGGACGAGAGUCUGAACCAGCCAAGUAGCGUGGAGGAUGACUGCCCUAUGGGUUGUAAACUUCCUUUAUAAAGGACUAAAACGAGGCACGUGUGCCUUUUUGCAUGUACUUUAUGAAUAAGGAUCGGCUAACUCCGUGCCAGCAGCCGCGGUAAUACGGAGGAUCCGAGCGUUAUCCGGAUUUAUUGGGUUUAAAGGGAGCGUCGAUGGGUUGUUAAG